rnacentral:rRNA from 1 species
UAAUGUGAAUUGCAGAAUUCAGUGAAUCAUCGAAUCUUUGAACGCACAUUGCGCCCCUCGGCAUUCCGGGGGGCAUGCCUGUUCGAGCGUCAUUGCACCCGUCAAGCGCAGCUUGGUAUUGGGCCUUCGCCCCUGCGGCGUGCCCGAAAAACAGUGGCGGUCCGGCGUGACUUUAAGCGUAGUAACAUCUUCCCGCUUUAAAGCACACGUUGUGGCCGGCCAGAGAACCUAUUUAUUUCCAUAAUUGACCUCGGAUCAGGUAGGGAUACCCGCUGAACUUAAGCAUAUCAAUAAGCGGAGGAAAAGAAACCAACAGGGAUUGCCUUAGUAACGGCGAGUGAAGCGGCAACAGCUCAAAUUUGAAAUCUGGCUCCUUCGGGGUCCGAAUUGUAAUUUGUAGAGAGUGCUUCGGGCGAGGCCUCGGUCUAAGUCCAUUGGAACAUGGUGUCAUAGAGGGUGAGAAUCCCGUAUGCGACCGUGGCUCGAGCCCAUGUGAAGCCUCUUCGACGAGUCGAGUUGUUUGGGAAUGCAGCUCAAAAUGGGUGGUAAAUUUCCAUCUAAAGCUAAAUACUGGCUGGGAGACCGAUACCGCACAAGUAGAGUGAUCGAAGAAUGAAAAGCACUUUGGAAAGAUAUCAAUCAUUUC